CGACCACUGGUGUAUCUGUUAGGUAUCAGGCCUAUGGCAGAGUAGCCAAGUCGGGACGGGAUAAACGCUGAAGGCAUCUAAGCGUGAAGCCCCCCUCAAGAUGAGAUAUCCCAUUCUGUAAGGAAGUAAGACCCCUUGAAGACGACGAGGUAGAUAGGGCAGAGGUGGAAGUGCGGUAACGUAUGGAGCUGACUGUCACUAAUCGGUCGAGGGCUUGACCAG
rnacentral:ncRNA from 1 species